rnacentral:rRNA from 1 species
AGAGUUUGAUCCUGGCUCAUGACGAACGCUGGCGGCGUGCUUAACACAUGCAAGUCGAACGAGACGAUUGAAAGCUUGCUUUUGAGAGUCGAGUGGCAAACGGGUGAGUAACGCGUAGACAACCUGCCGCAAAGAUGGGGACAACAGUUCGAAAGGACUGCUAAUACCGAAUGUUGUCAGAUUCCCGCAUGGGAGACUGAUUAAAGAUGGCCUCUACUUGUAAGCUAUCGCUUUGCGAUGGGUCUGCGUCUGAUUAGCUGGUUGGUGGGGUAACGGCCUACCAAGGCGACGAUCAGUAGCCGGUCUGAGAGGAUGAACGGCCACAUUGGAACUGAGACACGGUCCAGACUCCUACGGGAGGCAGCAGUGGGGAAUCUUCCGCAAUGGGCGAAAGCCUGACGGAGCAACGCCGCGUGAGUGAAGAAGGGUUUUCGGCUCGUAAAGCUCUGUUGACGGGGACGAAUGUGCGAGAUGCGAAUAGUUUCUUGCAAUGACGGUACCCGUCGAGGAAGCCACGGCUAACUACGUGCCAGCAGCCGCGGUAAUACGUAGGUGGCGAGCGUUGUCCGGAAUUAUUGGGCGUAAAGGGAGCGCAGGCGGGAAGGCAAGUCAGUCUUAAAAGUGCGGGGCUCAACCCCGUGAUGGGAUUGAAACUGUCUUUCUUGAGUGCAGGAGAGGAAAGCGGAAUUCCUAGUGUAGCGGUGAAAUGCGUAGAUAUUAGGAGGAACACCAGUGGCGAAGGCGGCUUUCUGGACUGUAACUGCCCUAAA